rnacentral:lncRNA from 1 species
CUGGGCCCGAGUUCUGCAGGCCUGCGUGUGCCAAAAGGAAGCGACUUCCACACUGGCUCAGGAAGAGGACUGGACCCCGCAAGAACAGCUGGAACGCUCAGAGCACCAGUAACCAGUGGCGAGUGAAGGUCGGGGAAUCAGCUCCACCACACACAGCGCAGCUGACAGCAUGGGGCAAGUGUGCCAGACCCUCCCCAUUUCCGACCUAAGAGGAAUGAGAACGGGGAGGUCUUCCAAUUGGCUACAGG